rnacentral:tmRNA from 1 species
AAGACUAGACUAAGCAUGUAGUGCCGCGGAUGUAGAAAUUUCGGACGCGGGUUCAACUCCCGCCAGCUCCACCA